rnacentral:rRNA from 1 species
UACGUAGGUGGCAAGCGUUGUCCGGAAUUACUGGGUGUAAAGCGCGUGUAGGCGGGAGGCCAAGUCUGCUGUGAAAUCGCUCGGCUCAACUGGGCGGGGUCGGUGGAAACUGGUCACCUGGAGGACGGUAGAGGCGAGUGGAAUUCCCGGUGUAGUGGUGAAAUGCGUAGAGAUCGGGAGGAACACCAGUGGCGAAGGCGGCUCGCUGGGCCGGUCCUGACGCUGAGGAGCGAAAGCCAGGGGAGCAAACGGG